UGGGGAAUAUUGCACAAUGGGGGAAACCCUGAUGCAGCGACGCCGCGUGAACGAAGAAGGUAUUCGUAUCGUAAAGUUCUGUCCUAUGGGAAGAUAAUGACAGUACCAUAGAAGAAAGCUCCGGCUAAAUACGUGCCAGCAGCCGCGGUAAUACGUAUGGAGCGAGCGUUGUCCGGAAUUAUUGGGCGUAAAGGGUACGCAGGCGGUUUAAUAAGUCGAAUGUUAAAGAUCGGGGCUCAACCCCGUAAAGCAUUGGAAACUGAUAAACUUGAGUAGUGGGGAGGAACGUGGAAUUCCUAGUGUAGUGGUGAAAUACGUAGAUAUUAGGAGGAAUACCAGUAGCGAAGGCGACUUUCUGGACACAAACUGACGCUGAGGUACGAAAGCGUGGGGAGCAAACAGG
rnacentral:rRNA from 1 species